rfam:Camelus ferus unplaced genomic scaffold scaffold60782, whole genome shotgun sequence.
AGAGAACAGCUCAGUGGUAGAGCACAUGCCUAGCACGCACAAGGUCCUGGGUUCAUUCCCCAGUACCUCUA